rnacentral:pre_miRNA from 8 species
UUGUUGUAAACUUGCAUGCGUUUGCUUGGCUAAUAUCAGCUGGUAAUUCUGAGAUAACCCCGUGGCCAUAACAUGCUCAGGAUGCCGGCCGAUAUUGACCAAUCAGACAGCUCUUUGCUUAUUGUGGCU